CAAAAACAUCUUUUCUUGUUAGUUUUUGAAGUAUGGCCUGCCCACUGACUUUUAGUUGAAGGGCCGCGGUAUUUUGACCGUGCAAAGGUAGCAUAAUCAUUAGUUCUUUAAUUGUGAUCUGGUAUGAAUGGCUUGACGAGACACAAACUGUCUUAGAAGUAUUGUUUAUUGAAUUUAGUUUUUAAGUUAAAAUUCUUAGAUGUUUUUAUGGGACGAGAAGACCCUAUAGAGUUUUACAUUUAUUUUGUUUAUAUUGUUGUUUGUUUUGGUUAUAAGCUUGGUUUAAUGUUUUGUUGGGGUGAUGGGAGGAAUACUACUUAACUCCUCUUUGUUUUUAUAUAUUUAUUUAUAUUUGUUUGAUCCAUUUAUUUUGAUUAUAAGAUUAAAUUACCUU
rnacentral:rRNA from 1 species